rnacentral:rRNA from 1 species
UAGGGAAUCUUCCGCAAUGGGCGAAAGCCUGACGGAGCAACGCCGCGCGAGUGAUGAAGGUCUUCGGAUCGUAAAACUCUGUUAUUAGGGAAGAACAAAUGUGUAAGUAACUAUGCACGUCUUGACGGUACCUAAUCAGAAAGCCACGGCUAACUACGUGCCAGCAGCCGCGGUAAUACGUAGGUGGCAAGCGUUAUCCGGAAUUAUUGGGCGUAAAGCGCGCGUAGGCGGUUUUUUAAGUCUGAUGUGAAAGCCCACGGCUCAACCGUGGAGGGUCAUUGGAAACUGGAAAACUUGAGUGCAGAAGAGGAAAGUGGAAUUCCAUGUGUAGCGGUUAAAUGCGCAGAGAUAUGGAGGAACACCAGUGGCGAAGGCGACUUUCUGGUCUGUAACUGACGCUGAUGUGCGAAAGCGUGGGGAUCAAACAGG